rnacentral:rRNA from 1 species
AACGAACGCUGGCGGCAGGCUUAACACAUGCAAGUCGAGCGCCCCGCAAGGGGAGCGGCAGACGGGUGAGUAACGCGUGGGAAUCUACCCAUCACUACGGAACAACUCCGGGAAACUGGAGCUAAUACCGUAUACGUCCUUCGGGAGAAAGCUUUAUCGGUGAUGGAUGAGCCCGCGUUGGAUUAGCUAGUGGGUGGGGUAAUGGCCCACCAAGGCGACGAUCCAUAGCUGGUCUGAGAGGAUGAUCAGCCACACUGGGACUGAGACACGGCCCAGACUCCUACGGGAGGCAGCAGUGGGGAUUAUUGGACAAUGGGCGCAAGCCUGAUCCAGCCAUGCCGCGUGAGUGAUGAAGGCCCUAGGGUUGUAAAGCUCUUUCACCGGUGAAGAUAAUGACGGUAACCGGAGAAGAAGCCCCGGCUAACUUCGUGCCAGCAGCCGCGGUAA